rnacentral:rRNA from 1 species
GAUGAACGCUGGCGGCGUGCCUAAUACAUGCAAGUCGAGCGAACGGACGAGAAGCUUGCUUCUCUGAUGUUAGCGGCGGACGGGUGAGUAACACGUGGAUAACCUACCUAUAAGACUGGGAUAACUUCGGGAAACCGGAGCUAAUACCGGAUGAUAUUUUGAACCGCAUGGUUCAAAAGUGAAAGACGGUCUUGCUGUCACUUAUAGAUGGAUCCGCGCUGCAUUAGCUAGUUGGUAAGGUAAUGGCUUACCAAGGCAACGAUGCAUAGCCGACCUGAGAGGGUGAUCGGCCACACUGGAACUGAGACACGGUCCAGACUCCUACGGGAGGCAGCAGUAGGGAAUCUUCCGCAAUGGGCGAAAGCCUGACGGAGCAACGCCGCGUGAGUGAUGAAGGUCUUCGGAUCGUAAAACUCUGUUAUUAGGGAAGAACAUAUGUGUAAGUAACUGUGCACAUCUUGACGGUACCCAAUCAGAAAGCCACGGCUAACUACGUG